GACGAACGCUGGCGGCGUGCCUAACACAUGCAAGUUGAGCGACGAACCAGGGCUUGCCCUGGGGCAAAGCAGCGAACGGGUGAGUAACACGUGGGUAACCUGCCCCCGAUAACCGGGACAACCCGAGGAAACUCGGGCUAAUACCGGAUGUGCUCGCCGGACUCAAGUCCGGUGCGUAAAGGAAGCUUCGGCCUCCGUAUCGGGAGGGGCCCGCGGCCCAUUAGCUAGUUGGUGAGGUAACGGCUCACCAAGGCNGCGAUGGGUAGCUGGUCUGAGAGGACGAUCAGCCACACUGGGACUGAGACACGGCCCAGACUCCUACGGGAGGCAGCAGUGGGGAAUCUUGCGCAAUGCGCGAAAGCGUGACGCAGCAACGCCGCGUGGGGAAGAAGGCCU
rnacentral:rRNA from 1 species